rnacentral:rRNA from 1 species
UACGUGAGGGUGCAAGCGUUAAUCGGAAUUACUGGGCGUAAAGCGUGCGCAGGCGGUUAUGUAAGACAGUUGUGAAAUCCCCGGGCUCAACCUGGGAACUGCAUCUGUGACUGCAUAGCUAGAGUACGGUAGAGGGGGAUGGAAUUCCGCGUGUAGCAGUGAAAUGCGUAGAUAUGCGGAGGAACACCGAUGGCGAAGGCAAUCCCCUGGACCUGUACUGACGCUCAUGCACGAAAGCGUGGGGAGCAAACAGG